UACGGAGGAUGCGAGCGUUAUCCGGAUUUAUUGGGUUUAAAGGGUGCGUAGGCGGGCUGUUAAGUCAGCGGUCAAAUGUCGGGGCUCAACCCCGGCCUGCCGUUGAAACUGGCGGCCUCGAGUGGGCGAGAAGUAUGCGGAAUGCGCGGUGUAGCGGUGAAAUGCAUAGAUAUCGCGCAGAACUCCGAUUGCGAAGGCAGCGUACCGGCGCCAGACUGACGCUGAGGCACGAAAGCGUGGGGAUCGAACAGG
rnacentral:rRNA from 1 species